rnacentral:rRNA from 1 species
GACGGAGGGUGCAAGCGUUGUUCGGAUUGACUGGGCGUAAAGGGCGUGUAGGCGGUUGGUCAAGUCUGAUGUGAAAGCCCGGAGCUCAGCUCCGGAAGUGCAUCGGAAACUAGCCAGCUCGAGCGCGAUAGAGGAGGGUGGAAUUCCUGGUGUAGCGGUGAAAUGCGUAGAUAUCAGGAGGAACACCGGCGGCGAAGGCGGCCCUCUGGAUCGUUGCUGACGCUGAGACGCGAAAGCGUGGGGAGCAAACAGG